rnacentral:lncRNA from 1 species
CUUCACAUGGCCAGCCCUAAUUUCUUAAUCCAAACCUAAUCACACACAAAUACACAAUCACGCUGCCUACAAUAGAUUUGGUCAUCUGCUGUGCUGCUUGCCGACAACAAAUUGCUGCUCUUCGUCUUCGUCUUCGUCUUCGUCCUCAUCCCCGAUCUCUAGCUUGCUGGCUAUUCCCAUUUCCUUUUGUUUCGCAACUUAAUGGUUGUUGCCGGUAGCCUGCUACCUUCUUCAACUCCGAGCUAUAGCUAAUGCCUUCUUAAUUUAGAUUUUCUUCAAGUUCGAGUUGCUGCUACUGUAUUCUUUUGUGAGAGGUAAGCUGAUGGGUUCUUUCAUUUGUACACUAGGGUUUGGGGUUCUCUGAUCAGAAUAUAUCGGCUGGUCUGGUGAUUGCUCAACCGCCGUCGAUUUUUGAGGUGCCGCCCAGGUUGAGCCCCGCAAUUCUACUUGACUCGCUAAAUUUCAGUUUGUUUUCGCCUACACAGGUAAUUCAAUUUAACUUUGUCUGACCUAAAGUUUCUUCAUUUAUUCAUUAGAUUUUAGCUUGUUUAGGAAAGCUUUCAUUUUUAUUGGGUUUCGCAUUUAAAUUCUAAUAAUCCUUGGGUUUGAAUUUUGAUUUUUUUUUUUUUGGAGGGAUGGAAAAUUUUCUUCAUUGCCUUGAUUUGUUAGCAGUCGGUUGGAAUUUUGAAUUAGAGCUUGCUGAAGCAUUUAUUAUAGAAUUUAUAAAUGUGCCCUGUAAUUGGGAUAAAAACUCUUGACUUAAUUAAUCUGACAGAAGAACAUUUUGAGCAAUGUUGUAAUGUGAUUGUGCAUUGCUGAGAUAAUCUCAUCUUGUUUUGGUAUUCUAACCAAUAAAAAAAAAUUUAAGUGUUGGACUCCCCUUCGGCUUCACAUGGCAAGCCCUAAUUUCUUAAUCCAAACCUAAUCACACACAAAUACACAAUCACGCUGCCUACAAUAGAUUUGGUCAUCUGCUGUGCUGCUUGCCGACAACAAAUUGCUGCUCUUCGUCUUCGUCUUCGUCUUCGUCCUCAUCCCCGAUCUCUAGCUUGCUGGCUAUUCCCAUUUCCUUUUGUUUCGCAACUUAAUGGUUGUUGCCGGUAGCCUGCUACCUUCUUCAACUCCGAGCUAUAGCUAAUGCCUUCUUAAUUUAGAUUUUCUUCAAGUUCGAGUUGCUGCUACUGUAUUCUUUUGUGAGAGGUAAGCUGAUGGGUUCUUUCAUUUGUACACUAGGGUUUGGGGUUCUCUGAUCAGAAUAUAUCGGCUGGUCUGGUGAUUGCUCAACCGCCGUCGAUUUUUGAGGUGCCGCCCAGGUUGAGCCCCGCAAUUCUGCUUGACUCGCUAAAUUUCAGUUUGUUUUCGCCUACACAGGUAAUUCAAUUUAACUUUGUCUGACCUAAAGUUUCUUCAUUUAUUCAUUAGAUUUUAGCUUGUUUAGGAAAGCUUUCAUUUUUAUUGGGUUUCGCAUUUAAAUGCUAAUAAUCCUUGGGUUUGAAUUUUGAUUUUUUUUUUUUUGGAGGGAUGGAAAAUUUUCUUCAUUGCCUUGAUUUGUUAGCAGUCGGUUGGAAUUUUGAAUUAGAGCUUGCUGAAGCAUUUAUUAUAGAAUUUAUAAAUGUGCCCUGUAAUUGGGAUAAAAACUCUUGACUUAAUUAAUCUGACAGAAGAACAUUUUGAGCAAUGUUGUAAUGUGAUUGUGCAUUGCUGAGAUAAUCUCAUCUUGUUUUGGUAUUCUAAGUAUCCAAAUGGACUGGAUAGUAGGCUAUCCAGGUCAAGUUUUAAUGGUAAUUGGGCAUUUUUCUUUCCUGAUUUUAGUUUCAUCUCUUUUUAGAUGAAGCAUAUGGUUAAUGCAAACAAUUAACGAAAGAAAAGCUCUUGGUAUUACUAGUGUUGGAGAUCCAAUUGUCUUCAUGUAAACUGUGAACACUUUUAACUCCCAUAUCUAAGAUAUAGAGAUCUUUAUGUAGCUUUAAGCCAAAUAUGUGAGAAAUUCUCCAAUCUAGUCACAACUUUAUUAGCAACCAAGAAUGAAAGAGUAUUAGCUUCCAGUUAUAAUUUGAUGACCGGAGCUUGAAUGAGUGAGUGAUAACUUGUAUUGUCUAUAUUGCUUUGUAUGUCAUGCCUCACUGGCAUUAUGUUACUUGGGUAUCCAAAUUUUGCGUUUAUCUAUUACUAAUUUCCCUGAUUCAUUGGAUGCAACCUAGGGAGCCUUUAGAAUGAAGCACUAGCAGGCCCUAGCACAGGUCACUGCCCAAGCUGACAAUUGUAGAGAGGGAAAACAGAGACAAAAGGUUGUAAAACACGUUAAAGAGACAAAAGGAUAUAUAUGUAACAAAAAUAUCUAUUAAAAUUAGGUUCAGGGAGUAUUUGGAUGGAUUUUCUUUCUUUUGAUGUAACUGUGACCAAAAAGGGGUUUUAUUUGCAUUGUAAGUGGAGGUGUUAAUAGCAGCACUAUUUUUAUAUUUGACAACAGAAUACACAUUAACACUAUAUAUAGUGGAACCUCGAUAAAUUAAUAACAUUGAUUAAAUAAUAGUUUUCGCCAACUCAGACGUGGGCCCAACUUAGUAAAUUAAUAAUUCAAUAAAUUUAUUAAACAAUAAUUGUUGUAGAAAAGUAAGAAAUCUUAUUUUUCUAUAGGACUCAACUAAACAUAAAUUAAUAAUUAACCAAUUUAGAAUUAAACACAUAUGAUAUGUUUAAGAUUUUCUUUGUUGUACUAGCAUAAUGAUUUAUGCAUUCCAUUGGUUAUUGUUAUUUCUCUACAACUUUUAGAAGAGAAGCCAGUGUUGUAUUCUAUGUGAUAGGUUAAGAGAAACAAGAGAAAAAUUGACUUAAUAUAUUGUCUCAAAAAAGUCUUCUUUGAUGUGUUAUCAUCUAAUUGUGAUGCAACCAUGCAAUCUAGCAAAAGAAUUAUCAAGUCAUUGAUUUACUCAAUUAAAAUCAAACUAGAAUCAUAUUAUACAGCUUGAUAGAAUCUCUAUAUUCUUUAAUUACACUACAACAAAAACAGUGUAUGAUAGCAUCUGAAAAAUGCUACCAAAUUAAAGUGAAUGGUAGCAUUUUGAACAAUGCUAAGUUAGCCGGUGUAACUAAAAGUAUUACACAUUAGUAGCAUUUUUUACAUGCCACAAAUUAUGAUACAUAGCAUUCUGCUGUACCGUACAUCCGCCUUGGCCGUACAGCAGCAUUAAUUGCACUUGGUUUUAUAUUUCUCUUUACUAUGUACUAUGUUGCAAAAUAUUUUGUUUAUACUUAAUCUUUUAUAAUCCAGCAACUCUUAUGAAGACCUAGUCAACUGUCACUGCUACAUAAGCAUUCAGGUUAUACUGCUUUAUCAUCAUUUUUAUUUUCUUCCCUUUUUCUCUUUUACAGCUUGUGAGCUUACUGCUUCAUUAUGUCAAUUGUCGAAUGUGAUUUUCUAUUUUCUCUUGGGUUGUUUAUUCUCAUUUUCCCUUUAGUAUCAAAGCUGAUUAAAUCAAUUAGACACUGAUGAAUUUUAUUAUGAAUUUGAUUAAUUGUAAGUGGGCAAUAUAUUAAUAUGUAUUUUUUGGGCACUCAUUUUAUUGUAACCUAUGUUUCAGGUGAUGUUGGUGGCUUUCGGGAAUUUACUAAGAGUGUUUUUUUUAUGGAUUAAUUGUUUUUCUAGUGAUGUGUUGGUGAUUGGAUAUUGAUAAAGGAUUUAUGAGAUAUUGUAAAGGAUUUGAUUCACCAUAUAUUUUGUGAUGCUAUUUGUUGGAAGUUUCAAGUGAUUGAAAUUUUUAGCGCAUCACACUAUUUGGUAUUUGAUAGUUUUUAUGAAUUUGAAUGUAAUUUUUAUUUCAAUUAAUUCAAGUUUUAAAUGUGGUUUUUGUUGUUUUUA